AGACGUCAGGACAUGGACUGCCCUGGAACCGCAGUCCUGCCAGCAAGGUCGCUGUGGCUACUGGCUCUGGGCCCCGCAGUUUCCUCUUCACACGGGCGUCUCGCUCCCUGGGGAAUAGUGAUGAUGAUGAUGAUGAUGAUGAUGAUGAUGAUGAUGAUGAUGAUGAUAAUGGUGAUGGUGAUGAUGGUAAUAAGAGCACUUACCAGGUGCCAGGCAUUUGACCCAGGGACCCUAUCAGAAUCCAUGGAAACUCCUUCCCGAGCAACAAGGCCAGGGCGUGGUCAGACCCCAGCUCACCUUGUUCACGCUGCCCAUCUCCACUAGCUGCCUUUCAGCCACACUCCGGAAUCCCCGUCUUCCCCUCUUCACCUGCUUUACUCCUCAUUCUUGUCUCAGUUCAAGCAUAACUUCCUCAAAGGAGUCCUCCCGACUUGCCACAGCACCACACGCCCUCCCUGAUAAACUCUGUCAAGAGUGAUACUGUUACAUUUGUUACGGUGAUCCUUGAAUUAAUAUCUACCUCUUCUGCCUGACUCUAAGUGUCUUGAGGGCAAGGGCCAGCUCUGAAGGGGUUAGUUAGAAGCCAGUGUCCUAACGAAUGAAACCUUUACAGCCCACCAUAACCUGGCUACCCAUCACCUCUCUCACUCCACACCCGCCAUACCGCAGGCAUGCUCCCACCUCAGGGCCCUGGCAUGUUCCCAGAUAUCCACCUGGCUCCCUCCCAUCUUCCUCCGAGUCUUUUCUCAAGUGUCGUCUUAGUGAGGCAUUUCCAGGCCUCUUAUCUAAUAAAUACCUCUCUGCAGUCCUUCUGAUCCUCCUUGCUUGCUUUCUUUUCUCUUUAGAACUUAUCCCUAACAUAUUAUAUAAUAUUUAUUUCUCUUGCCUACUUGUCUACUCCACCCACUAGAGUAUCAUCAGUUCCAUGAGGGCAGGGGCUUUGGUUUGUUCACUGUUGCAUCCUCACUGCCUAGGACUGUGCCUGGCACAUAAGCUGGUGCUAAAUAAGUAUUUGUCAAAUCAGUGAGUGAAUAUGUGUUUUUACUUACAUUGUAUUCCUGGCAUCCAGCACAGUGCCUU